CGAACGCUGGCGGCGUGCUUAACACAUGCAAGUCGAACGGAAAGGCCCCUUUGGGGGUACUCGAGUGGCGAACGGGUGAGUAACACGUGAGUAACCUGCCCUUGACUUCGGGAUAACUUCAGGAAACUGGGGCUAAUACCGGAUAGGAAUCCUUGCUGCAUGGUGGGGGUUGGAAAGCUUCGGCGGUUUUGGAUGGACUCGCGGCUUAUCAGCUUGUUGGUGGGGUAGUGGCUUACCAAGGCUUUGACGGGUAGCCGGCCUGAGAGGGCGACCGGCCACAUUGGGACUGAGAGACGGCCCAGACUCCUACGGGAGGCAGCAGUGGGGAAUAUUGCACAAUGGGCGGAAGCCUGAUGCAGCAACGCCGCGUGCGGGAUGACGGCCUUCGGGUUGUAAACCGCUUUCAGCAGGGGCGAAGCUUGUGGUGACGGUACCUGCAGAAGAAGCACCGGCUAACUACGUG
rnacentral:rRNA from 1 species